ACUCCUACGGGAGGCAGCAGUGGGAAUAUUGCACAAUGGGCGCAAGCCUGAUGCAGCCAUGCCGCGUGUAUGAAGAAGGCCUUCGGGUUGUAAAGUACUUUCAGUCAGUGAGGAAGGUGGUAUGUUAAUAGUACAUACUCAUUUGACUGUUAGCUUGCAGAAGAAGACACCGGCCGUAACUCCGUGCCAGCAGCCGCGGUAAUACGGAGGGUGCGAGCGUUAAUCGGAAUUACUGGGCGUAAAGCGCAUGCAGGUGGUUUGUUAAGUCAGAUGUGAAAG
rnacentral:rRNA from 1 species